AUUGAGCGCUGGCGGCAUGCCUCACACAUGCAAGUCGAACGGCAGCACGGGAGCAAUCCUGGUGGCGAGUGGCGAACGGGUGAGUAAUACAUCGGAACGUGCCCAAUCGUGGGGGAUAACGCAGCGAAAGCUGUGCUAAUACCGCAUACGAUCCACGGAUGAAAGCAGGGGAUCGCAAGACCUUGCGCGAAUGGAGCGGCCGAUGGCAGAUUAGGUAGUUGGUGAGGUAAAGGCUCACCAAGCCGUCGAUCUGUAGCUGGUCUGAGAGGACGACCAGCCACACUGGGACUGAGACACGGCCCAGACUCCUACGGGAGGCAGCAGUGGGGAAUUUUGGACAAUGGGCGAAAGCCUGAUCCAGCCAUGCCGCGUGCAGGAUGAAGGCCUUCGGGUUGUAAACUGCUUUUGUACGGAACGAAACGGCCUUUUCUAAUAAAGAGGGCUAAUGACGGUACCGUAAGAAUAAGCACCGGCUAACUACGUGCCAGCAGCCGCGGUAAUACGUAGGGUGCAAGCGUUAAUCGGAAUUACUGGGCGUAAAGCGUGCGCAGGCGGUUAUGUAGGACAGUUGUGAAAUCCCCGGGCUCAACCUGGGAACUGCAUCUGUGACUGCAUAGCUAGAGUACGGUAGAGGGGGGAUGGAAUUCCCGCGUGUAGCAGUGAAAUGCGUAGAUAUGCGGAGGAACACCGAUGGCGAAGGCAAUCCCCCUGGACUGUUUCUGACGCUCAUGCACGAAAGCGUGGGGACAAAA
rnacentral:rRNA from 1 species